AGCGAACGCUGGCGGCAGGCUUAACACAUGCAAGUCGAGCGGGCACUUUCGGGUGUCAGCGGCGGACGGGUGAGUAACGCGUGGGAACGUGCCCUCUGGUUCGGAAUAACUCAGGGAAACUUGAGCUAAUACCGGAUACGCCCUUUUGGGGAAAGGCUUGCUGCCGGAGGAUCGGCCCGCGUCUGAUUAGCUAGUUGGUGAGGUAACGGCUCACCAAGGCGACGAUCAGUAGCUGGUCUGAGAGGAUGAUCAGCCACACUGGGACUGAGACACGGCCCAGACUCCGACGGGAGGGAGCAGUGGGGAAUAUUGGACAAUGGGCGCAAGCCUGAUCCAGCCAUGCCGGGUGAGUGAUGAAGGCCUUAGGGUUGUAAAGCUCUUUUAUCCGGGACGAUAAUGACGGUACCGGAGGAAUAAGCCCCGGCUAACUUCGUG
rnacentral:rRNA from 1 species